GUAAUACGGAGGGUGCAAGCGUUAAUCGGAAUUACUGGGCGUAAAGCGCACGCAGGCGGUCUGUUAAGUCAGAUGUGAAAUCCCCGGGCUUAACCUGGGAACUGCAUUUGAAACUGGCAGGCUUGAGUCUCGUAGAGGGGGGUAGAAUUCCAGGUGUAGCGGUGAAAUGCGUAGAGAUCUGGAGGAAUACCGGUGGCGAAGGCGGCCCCCUGGACGAAGACUGACGCUCAGGUGCGAAAGCGUGGGGAGCAAACAGGAUUAGAUACCCUGGUAGUCCACGCCGUAAACGAUGUCGACUUGGAGGCUGUUCCCCUGAGGAGUGGCUUCCGGAGCUAACGCGUUAAGUCGACCGCCUGGGGAGUACGGCCGCAAGGUUAAAACUCAAAUGAAUUGACGGGGGCCCGCACAAGCGGUGGAGCAUGUGGUUUAAUUCGAUGCAACGCGAA
rnacentral:rRNA from 1 species